rnacentral:tRNA from 1 species
GCCGUCGUAGCUCAAUUGGCAGAGCACAAUACUUGUAAUAUUGGGGUUAUGGGUUCAAGUCCCAUCGACGGCU